ensembl:lncRNA
GGGGGAGGGACACAUUCCUCAGCUUGUCUCUCUCUGCGCACUGCUACCGGGAGGGUUGAAGACAAAGGUCUGCAUAUCUGGAGACUCAAGCAUGCACCGGGAACCUCACCUUACUUCAGUGCUAUUUGCAGGAAUGAUAUAGCUCGUGCAAGGGCAAGCUGGUUUGGAUAUUCAUCUGUCUCAAGUAUGACUGCAAGAAACAAUCAUUUCUGACAGUGGGAGAAUAACCUUAACUCCUUGUGCUGCUUGACAUUUCUUUUGAUAUUAGUGAGAUAUUACACGCAAAAGCUGAGACAGAAGCACUAGAAGAGUCUGUCAGAGAAGUACAUACACUUGAUAUGGAAUAAGAACUAGAGUGAUCUUCUCAC